CGCCCCAAGUCCCACACCGCCUGGAUCUUUAUAUGCGUGACUGCCUCUCCUAUUAUAAAUAUGCCCCAUGCCCCCUGUUUUUGGAAGAAUGAAUUAGUCUGCUUUAUUAAGAUGUAUUCUUGCAUAUGUGGAGUUCCGUUUUGAAAUUGAGAGUGUUUCUCUAAGGAUUCUAUACAAGAAACCUUCUUGUUUAUUCCAAAUUUUCGUUGUGGAAUUUGGCAAAGUUUAAUAUUCUUUACACUUCUUCCGUGAGAUUGGGUAUCCUCGUACAUGACCACCUAUGGAAUCAUCAAGCCCAUCAAAGUACCCAUCAAAGUACGCGUUUCGAAGAACGUAAGCACACACCAAUUGCCCAGCGGUUUUACCAAAACCUAUAAGUCUUGAAUUCAAUUGCUCAGCAAUACCAAAACCAACAAAAUAUCAUGGCAAUUAGAAACAUCCGCAAUAAUCUCAGGUUGGUCUCAAUUCAUCAAUCUUGUAAUUCUACUUUUCACAUCUCGUUCUUCUCUGACACCCCAACUUCAAGUUCAGCUACUCUCCUUUCUCCUCCCCGCAUCUCAUUCGGGUGUUCAACUCUUUCCUUCCCCAAUCACCCUUUUGCGGGUUCUUCAACUCCUUGUUCUAAUGUUGAUAAUGGGCACUCACCCUUCAAUCUCAAUUUGCACUUUCAUACUCGCGUGUAUUUUUGUACUUUUUGUACUCGUACUCCUUACUGGGGUAGGCCUCUUGCUACUUCAGAGCAGAUUUCUCAAAUCAUUGCACUGAUUCGUGAGGAUGGGGAUGAUUUGGUAGCCAAGUUGAAUAGUAUGAACGUGUCUUUGUCUCAUACGUCAGUUGUUGACAUUUUUCAGAUAUUAGCCAGUGACAGAGUGUCAGCAUUGCAGUUCUUUGAUUGGCUUAAAGUUUCUGAUCCUGAUAUUUGUUGUGAUCCGGAUAUAGGUAGCUUGUUUGUUCUUAACUGUGGGUUGUUGUGGAAUUUUGAGGCAAUGGUUCCUGUUUUGCGUGGAUUUAGCCUUAAAAGGGUGUUUUUGGGAAUAAAGGCUUUUGGGUUUUUGCUGGAUUUAGGUUUGGACAAGACUUCUAGAAUAAAAUGUGUGAAAAAGAUUAUGACCGUGUUCAAUGAGGUUGGCGGGGUUUAUCAAAGUUUUGGAGUUCAGUUGUUGAUAGAAAUGUUUGGUCUUUCAGGAUCGUUUGAGAUAGCUGAGUUUGUGAUAAGAACAGCGGGGAGAAAGAUUAAAAACUAUCAUGUGUUAAUGAGGAUAAUGUGUAAGAGAGGUGAUUGUAAAAGAGUAGGAGAUUUGGUUAAGGAGAUGGAGAGAAGUGAUUGUGAUAUGAAUGCAGGUACGUAUAAUUUGCUACUCAGUUGUCUAUGCAAGAGUGGUAAAAUUGAUGAAGCUUGGCAAGUGCUUGAAGAUAUGGAGAAAAACUAUGGUUUAACUAAUGCGCAUAGCUUUGGUAUUCUUAUUAACACAUUUUGUAAGAGGCAUCAGUUUGAUUUAGUUAUGAAGCUUCUUGAUAAAAUGACUCUGAAGGGUAUUGAACCAAGUAUUUUAACUCAUGCUGCGAUAAUAAAGUCCUAUUUUGAAUCAGGAAAGUACGAGGAAGCACACGUGUAUGUGAUUGGUUCUGCCGAUAAGCUUAGCUAUUAUAGCAAUGCAAACUACAGCUUGCUAGCUACCCUUCAUUUGAAGAAUGGGAAUGUUCUGCUUGCCAGUAAGGUUCUUUCUGAGAUGAUGGACAAGGGUCUUAUACCUAAUUUUUCAGCAUACAAAAAAGUUAGGACGCAUCUCGAGAAGAAAGCCGAAAAAGAUUUGUCUAUGGAAUUAUCAAGAAGAUACUUGAGCUUGAUUGAAAAAUGAAAGAUUUUGAAUUUUACAUGACUAGAUGCUGUAAUUCCAGCCAUGUUUGCUUAAUAGUUGCUCUACAUACUGAGCGGUCCAGUUAAUGACGUUUGCUUCUGCCAUUUUGCUGGUUUCAUCAUUGAUAAGUCUACAUUCUGCCAGUUUGUUCUACAUACUUGCUUAAUAUUGGUGCUCAAUAUCAAUUGGUUUCAGAAACAGCCCAACGGCAAUGACGAGCUCUUUCUUGCAGAGAUGAGUGUAGUUUCGAUUUUCAGUGUUAUCAUCAGGUGAUUUGAUUAAGCUAAAUCAAAUCUGUUGACGUCUGAGCAUGUGAUGUAGUGUCAAAUGUUUCCAAAACCCUCCAACUGUUUCUGAGACAAAGUUAAAUUUUCUCAAGGAAUAUAAGCGACCAAAUCUACAAUAUGGUGCUGUAAGAGCUCUUUUUUCAGCAACAUUUAAUGAGAUACAAGAGAUCAUAUCGCUAUGAUGCCAUAUUCGCCCUUGGCUUUGUCACUGUAUAUGAGCAACUCAUGGAAGGGUAUCCAAGUGAUGAGGACCGAGAUGCCAUCUUCCAAGCAUACGUUUAGGCACUGAAAGAAGAUCCUGAACAAUACAGGUAAAGUGACUCUGAUAGUAAGGUUUCGGUAGAGCGGUUUCGGUGGAGCAGGCAGAGUGAACGGAAUGUUACGGGAAAAACAUAUAGUAUACACGGGAUAACUGAUACAUGAAACUUUGUUACUAUAAAUGAUGAGUAGGGGAGACAGGCUUUUACUGCGAUGUUAUGACUCGACCACCCUGUUGUCCAGGGAUCAAUACACUCUAUGAACGUGGAGGAAGCCACAAAGAUAGUCUGAGUAGGGAGUGCGAGUAAUAAUCAUAGGUAGAGGAAGAAAAAGUCCAAUAAUGUUAUCGUUAUUUUUAACAGUGGGCUCAGUCCAUGUGACUUCUGUUCUUUUUAAUUGCUGGGCUAGUGCGGUACUGGUCUUAUUUUUGGGAUUCUUCAUCCACCUCUCUUUUUCCUUUCUUCACCCCUGUAAUUCCGAACUUUUUCCUUGUCCUAUUUUCUUUUUUCAUCCUAUUCCCAUCUCUCCACCAAAGAAAAAAGUGUCUUGCAUUAAAUCAUUGGACCUCCCAACGCCCAAAAAACAAAACCAAACCACCAACACUGGAAAGGAAGAAUAAAAGUGUGCAGAGAAUGAGACAAUGGAAGAAUAAGCUUGAAGAGAGAAUCAAGAGAGAAUGAGAAUUGUGAUAUUGAAAACGUGUCACAACAUACUUGCCUGUCUCAACCAGCAUUGUAUAAGGAGACAUGGUGUAGGAUAAGACACGAUGAAGGAGAGGUGCUUUGGAAAUGGGUAUUUCAAAUUGGGGGGUGCAAGCAAAAAUUGAGGUGCAAGAAUUAGCAGUUAGCAUUUUGUUAACAGGAGAAACACAUGGUGUGCAUCAUACUGAUAAAGAUGUUAGGUAUACAGUUUAAAAGUUUGAAGCGCUGGGAAAAAUUAUCCGAAAGUGUUGGAAAGGAAAAAUGGGGAGUGUGGCGUGGAAGCAGCUUCUUCUGAACGCUUUGGAAUCAAACGCU